rnacentral:rRNA from 1 species
GAAAGGAACGCUAAUACCGCAUACCGCCCCGACGGGGGAAAGCGGGGGAUCUUCGGACCUCGUGCUAUAGGAGGAGCCUGCGUCGGAUUAGCUAGUUGGUGAGGUAAAGGCUCACCAAGGCGACGAUCCGUAGCUGGUCUGAGAGGAUGAUCAGCCACACCGGAACUGAGACACGGUCCGGACUCCUACGGGAGGCAGCAGUGGGGAAUAUUGCGCAAUGGGCGAAAGCCUGACGCAGCCAUACCGCGUGUGUGAAGAAGGCCUUCGGGUUGUAAAGCACUUUCAGUGGGGAGGAAAAGCGGGUGGCUAAUAUCCAUCGGCCGUGACGCUACCCACAGAAGAAGCACCGGCUAAUUCCGUG